rnacentral:ncRNA from 2 species
GCCGGGAUGUGUGAUAUUUGUACCCAGGGUUAAAAGGGAAGCCGGUGUGAACCCGGCGCGGUCCCGCCACUGUGAAUGGAGUGUUGUGCUCAUUAGGCCACUGUCUAAUUGAUCAGCAGGUAUGGUAUCCGCUGAUAAGGAUGGGAAGGCGAGCUCAACGUAUUCUCCUAAGUCAGGAAACCUGCCUGAAGAUAGACGAGUUG